CUCUAAAUUUAAUAUUAAAAAUUUACAAUUUUAUAUAGUUUAGAAA
rnacentral:tRNA from 1 species